AGCAAAUAAAUAGUCAAUUAGUCAAUUUAGUCAGCAGAAAGCAAAAAAAAAAGAGCUAUCGUUAAUAAGUUUUAAAUAAACCACUAAUGUUUCGCCGCAGAACUACGUGUCCCAUGAUGCCCCGCGCGGUCAAGAUGAGCAAAUGGAACACGGAGCGGAGCAGCCGCGGUGACAGCUGAGUUUACUGAGAGACCCUAAAGCGACCACGGACACACUCAGGUGAAACAAAACAUAACAAACGUGGUGAAUUUCCACAGCGCUCCAGCAGCAGCAGCAGCAGCAGGGUGGGAUUUCCCUCUGAGGACACACUCGGGACGGGACAGGACAGAAGCCGGCCGGUAAAGCAGCACUAGCGGCAGAGAUCAUUUGAUUUAAUGGGUGUACACUGAACAAGACAGUUCCCUCUCCUGCACAGAUCAUCACAUGCUAACUGCUGCAGCGUCACAGUAAUCAUACUCUCCAACGAGUUUGAGCCUGAUGCCCUGAGAGCCUUUCUUAUCUCCCUGAGCCACCAGGGGGCCUCAGUCCCACAGUGGCACAGCUGUAGCCUUCAGUUUGUCUUCAUCCUGAACCCUCCGGCCCCAGU